GGCAUGGGGCUCCCUGGGCUGUUCUGCUUGGCCGUGCUGGCUGCCAGCAGCUUCUCCAAGGCACGGGAGGAAGAGACAGACUUUCACCAUGUUGGCUACACUGGUUUUGAACUCCUGACCUCAAGUGAUCCGUCCACCUGGACCUCCCAAACACUGGGAUUACAGGUGUUUGCCACCGAGCCUGGCCAAACCAGUACCUUCUUAAGGUGCUUGAUCAAUGUCGGUUUCUUUCUUCCUCCUUGGACCUUUUCAUCUCCCAGAAAUUACCCCUGUGGUCUCCAUUGCCUACAAAGUCCUGGAAGUUUUCCCCAAAGGCCGCUGGGUGCUCAUAACCUGCUGUGCACCCCAGCCACCACCGCCCAUCACCUAUUCCCUCUGU
rnacentral:lncRNA from 10 species